rnacentral:rRNA from 1 species
AAAGGAAGAAGAUCUAAGAAUGCUUCUUUAAGAAGCUUUCUUGAUGGAGGGGAGUGGCAGACGGGUGAGUAACGCGUGGGAACAUACCCUUUUCUACGGAAUAGCUCUGGGAAACUGGAAUUAAUACCGUAUACGCCCUACGGGGGAAAGAUUGAUCGGGGAAGGAUUGGCCCGCGUUGGAUUAGCUAGUUGGUGGGGGAAACGCCUACCAAGGCGACGAUCCAUAGCUGGUCUGAGAGGAUGAUCAGCCACAUUGGGACUGAGACACGGCCCAAACUCCUACGGGAGGCAGCAGUGGGGAAUAUUGGACAAUGGGCGCAAGCCUGAUCCAGCCAUGCCGCGUGAGUGAUGAAGGCCUUAGGGUUGUAAAGCUCUUUCACCGAUGAAGAUAAUGACGGUAGUCGGAGAAGAAGCCCCGGCUAACUUCGUGCCAGCAGCCGCCGUAA